rnacentral:rRNA from 1 species
UACGUAGGUGGCAAGCGUUGUCCGGAAUUAUUGGGCGUAAAGCGCGCGCAGGUGGUUUCUUAAGUCUGAUGUGAAAGCCCACGGCUCAACCGUGGAGGGUCAUUGGAAACUGGGGAACUUGAGUGCAGGAGAGAAGAGUGGAAUUCCACGUGUAGCGGUGAAAUGCGUAGAGAUGUGGAGGAACACCAGUGGCGAAGGCGACUCUUUGGCCUGUAACUGACGCUGAGGCGCGAAAGCGUGGGGAGCAAACGGG